rnacentral:rRNA from 1 species
AUUGAACGCUGGCGGCAGGCCUAACACAUGCAAGUCGAACGAGUGGCGGACGGGUGAGGAAUAUAUGGGAAUCUACCUUGUCGUGGGGGAUAACGUAGGGAAACGUACGCUAAUACCGCAUACGAUUGAAUGUGCCGAUGUGGGAUUAGCUAGUUGGUGGGGUAAAGGCGCACCUAGGCGACGAUCCGUAGCUGGUCUGAGAGGAUGAUCAGCCACACUGGAACUGAGACACGGUCCAGACGCCUACGGGAGGCAGCAGUGGGGAAUAUUGGACAAUGGGCGCAAGCCUGAUACAGCCAUGCCGCGUGUAUGAAGAAGGCCUUCGGGUUGUAAAGCCCUUUCAUCGGGGAGGCGUUACCCAAAGAAUAAGCACCGGCUAACUCCGUGCCAGCAGCCGCGGUAAUUC